CUACGGGGUGCAGCAGUAGGGAAUAUUGGACAAUGGGCGAAAGCCUGAUCCAGCAACACCGCGUGCACGAUGACGGCCUUCGGGUUGUAAAGUGCUUUUAGAGGAGAUGAGAAAGGACAGUAUCCUCUGAAUAAGCCUCGGCGAACUACGUGCCAGCAGCCGCGGUAAAACGUAGGAGGCAAGCGUUGUCCGGAUUUAUUGGGCGUAAAGCGCGUGCAGGCGGUCUAGCAAGUUGGAUGUGAAAGCUCCCGGCUCAACUGGGAGAGGUCGUUCAAUACUGUUAGACUAGAGAAUAGGAGAGGGAGGUGGAAUUCCGGGUGUAGUGGUGAAAUGCGUAGAUAUCCGGAGGAACACCAGUGGCGAAAGCGGCCUCCUGGACUAUUUCUGACGCUAAGACGCGAAAGCUAGGGUAGCAAACGGGAUUAGAUACCCUAGUAGUC
rnacentral:rRNA from 1 species